rnacentral:rRNA from 1 species
GCAUUUGACCUCAAAUCAGGUAGGAUUACCCGCUGAACUUAAGCAUAUCAAUAC